rnacentral:rRNA from 2 species
AAAUUGAAGAGUUUGAUCAUGGCUCAGAUUGAACGCUGGCGGCAGGCCUAACACAUGCAAGUCGAACGGUAACAGGAAGCGCUUGCUGCUUCGCUGACGAGUGGCGGACGGGUGAGUAAUGUCUGGGAAACUGCCUGAUGGAGGGGGAUAACUACUGGAAACGGUAGCUAAUACCGCAUAACGUCGCAAGACCAAAGAGGGGGACCUUCGGGCCUCUUGCCAUCGGAUGUGCCCAGAUGGGAUUAGCUUGU